rnacentral:misc_RNA from 1 species
GUCGUCGUUAGCAGCAGUAGAUGCUUCCAAUGUUACUACUAUUGGUACUGAUAGUGUGACUUACGAUCGACGCUCGUUGAUUAUUAACGGCCAGAGGAAGCUGCUCAUCUCCGCUUCCAUUCACUAUCCUCGCAGUGUCCCUGCCAUGUGGCCUGGUCUGGUUCGAUUGGCGAAGGAAGGAGGAGUGGAUGUUAUUGAAACGUAUGUUUUCUGGAACGGUCACGAACCUUCUCCGGGCAAUUAUUACUUUGGAGGAAGGUUUGAUCUAGUCAAAUUUUGUAAGAUCAUUCAGCAGGCUGGAAUGUAUAUGAUUCUUCGGAUUGGACCAUUUGUAGCUG